rnacentral:rRNA from 1 species
AUUGAACGCUGGCGGCAUGCCUUACACAUGCAAGUCGAACGGUAACGGGCCUUCGGGUGCCGACGAGUGGCGAACGGGUGAGUAAUACAUCGGAACGUGCCCGAUCGUGGGGGAUAACGAGGCGAAAGCUUUGCUAAUACCGCAUACGAUCUACGGAUGAAAGCAGGGGACCGCAAAGCCUUGCGCGGACGGAGCGGCCGAUGGCAGAUUAGGUAGUUGGUGGGAUAAAAGCUUACCAAGCCGACGAUCUGUAGCUGGUCUGAGAGGAUGAUCAGCCACACUGGGACUGAGACACGGCCCAGACUCCUACGGGAGGCAGCAGUGGGGAAUUUUGGACAAUGGGCGCAAGCCUGAUCCAGCCACGCCGCGUGCAGGAUGAAGGCCUUCGGGUUGUAAACUGCUUUUGUACGGAACGAAAAGCCUUCUUUUAAUACAGGAGGGUCAUGACGGUACCGUAAGAAUAAGCACCGGCUAACUACGUG